AUUGAACGCUGGCGGCAGGUCUAACACAUGCAAGUCGAGCGAGCGGCGGACGGGUGAGUAAUGUCUGGGAAACUGUCUGAUGGAGGGGGAUAACUACUGGAAACGGUAGCUAAUACCGCAUACUAAUAGAUGAGCCUAAGUCGGCUUAGCUAGUUAGUGGGGUAAAGGCCUACCAAGGCGACGAUCUGUAGCGGGUCUGAGAGGAUGAUCCGCCGCACUGGAACUUGGACACGGCCCAGACUACUACGAGAGGCAGCAGUGUGGGAAAGUGGACAAUGGGGGGAACCCUGAUCCAGCCAUGCCGCGGGUGGGAAGAAGGCCUUAUGGUUGUAGAGCGCUUUAAGCGAGGAGGCGUUACUCGCAGAAUAGGCACCGGCUAACUCUGUGCCAGCAGCCGCAGUAAUAC
rnacentral:rRNA from 1 species